rnacentral:rRNA from 1 species
UACGAAGGGGGCUAGCGUUGCUCGGAAUCACUGGGCGUAAAGGGUGCGUAGGCGGGUCUUUAAGUCAGGGGUGAAAUCCUGGAGCUCAACUCCAGAACUGCCUUUGAUACUGAGGAUCUUGAGUUCGGGAGAGGUGAGUGGAACUGCGAGUGUAGAGGUGAAAAUUCGUAGAUAUUCGCAAGAACACCAGUGGCGAAGGCGGCUCACUGGCCCGAUACUGACGCUGAGGCACGAAAGCGUGGGAGCAACAGGG